UAGGCCGGCCGGCAGCUACACAUGCAGUCGAGCGGUAACAGGUCCAGCUUGCUGGACGCUGACGAGCGGCGGACGGGUGAGUAACGCAUAGGAAUCUACCCGGUAGUGGGGGAUAACCUGGGGAAACCCAGGCUAAUACCGCAUACGUCCUACGGGAGAAAGGGGGCUUCGGCUCCCGCUAUUGGAUGAGCCUAUGCCGGAUUAGCUGGUUGGUGAGGUAAUGGCUCACCAAGGCGACGAUCCGUAGCUGGUCUGAGAGGAUGAUCAGCCACAUCGGGACUGAGACACGGCCCGAACUCCUACGGGAGGCAGCAGUGGGGAAUAUUGGACAAUGGGGGCAACCCUGAUCCAGCCAUGCCGCGUGUGUGAAGAAGGCCCUCGGGUUGUAAAGCACUUUCAGCGAGGAAGAACGCCUGUCGGUUAAUACCCGGCAGGAAAGACAUCACUCGCAGAAGAAGCACCGGCUAACUCCGUGCCAGCAGCCGCGGUAAUACGGAGGGUGCAAGCGUUAAUCGGAAUUACUGGGCGUAAAGCGCGCGUAGGUGGCUUGAUAAGCCGGUUGUGAAAGCCCCGGGCUCAACCUGGGAACGGCAUCCGGAACUAUUAGGCUAGAGUGCAGGAGAGGAAGGUAGAAUUCCCGGUGUAGCGGUGAAAUGCGUAGAGAUCGGGAGGAAUACCAGUGGCGAAGGCGGCCUUCUGGACUGACACUGACACUGAGGUGCGAAAGCGUGGGUAGCAAACAGGAUUAGAUACCUGGGUAGUC
rnacentral:rRNA from 1 species